GACGAACCGUGCAAACGUUGUUCGGAUUCACUGGGCUUAAAGGGCGCGUAGGCGGGCCUGCAAGUCCGGGGUGAAAUCUUUCGGCUUAACCGGAAAAUCGCCUUGGAUACUGCAGGUCUUGAGGGAGGUAGGGGCAUGCGGAACUUCCGGUGGAGCGGUGAAUGCGUUGAUAUCGGAAGGAACUCCGGUGGCGAAAGCGGCGUGCUGGAUCUCUUCUGACGCUGAGGCGCGAAAGCGUGGGGAGCAAACAGG
rnacentral:rRNA from 1 species